GUGCUAUUAGCUCAGUAGGUAGAGCAUCAGAUUGUGGCUCUGAGGGUCGAGGGUUCGAGUCCCCCAUGGCACCCCA
rnacentral:tRNA from 1 species